UACGUAGGGGGCAAGCGUUGUCCGGAUUUAUUGGGCGUAAAGAGCGUGUAGGCGGCCGUACAGGUCAGCUGUGAAAACUCGAGGCUCAACCUCGAGACGUCGGUUGAAACCGUACGGCUAGAGUCCGGAAGAGGAGAGUGGAAUUCCCGGUGUAGCGGUGAAAUGCGCAGAUAUCGGGAAGAACACCCGUGGCGAAGGCGGCUCUCUGGGACGGUACUGACGCUGAGGCACGAAAGCGUGGGGAGCAAAAGGG
rnacentral:rRNA from 1 species